GAUGAACGCUGGCGGCGUGCCUAAUACAUGCAAGUCGAGCGAACAGACGAGGAGCUUGCUCCUCUGACGUUAGCGGCGGACGGGUGAGUAACACGUGGAUAACCUACCUAUAAGACUGGGAUAACUUCGGGAAACCGGAGCUAAUACCGGAUAAUAUAUUGAACCGCAUGGUUCAAUAGUGAAAGACGGUUUUGCUGUCACUUAUAGAUGGAUCCGCGCCGCAUUAGCUAGUUGGUAAGGUAACGGCUUACCAAGGCAACGAUGCGUAGCCGACCUGAGAGGGUGAUCGGCCACCCCGGAACUGAGACACGGUCCAGACUCCUACGGGAGGCAGCAGUAGGGAAUCUUCCGCAAUGGGCGAAAGCCUGACGGAGCAACGCCGCGUGAGUGAUGAAGGUCUUCGGAUCGUAAAACUCUGUUAUUAGGGAAGAACAAAUGUGUAAGUAACUAUGCACGUCUUGACGGUACCUAAUCAGAAAGCCACGGCUAACUACGUG
rnacentral:rRNA from 1 species